rfam:Schistosoma rodhaini strain Burundi genome assembly, scaffold: SROB_scaffold0019842
CCACUGCUGAGGAGUCCCAUAAUAGGACGAAACGGCCGUCCAGUGC